UCGUCAUCGUAGGGUUAGUCGGGACCUAAGUCGAGUCCGAAAGGGGUAGACGAUGGCAAAUAGGUUAAUAUUCCUAUACCGACAUACAAUCGUUUGAGUGAUGGGGGGACGCAUAGAGUUAAUCGAGCUCACUGAUGGAAUAGUGGGUCGAAGGACGUAGGUCGCAAGGUAGGCAAAUCCGCCUUGCACGAGACCGAGAUCUUACAGGCUCUUCAAUAGCUUCGGCUAGCGAGGAGAAUCGAUGAUACUGUCGUGCCGAGAAAAGCCUCUAAAUGAGAACAACCGUUGCCCGUACCGUAAACCGACACAGGUGGGUGAGAUGAGUAUUCUAAGGCGCGUGGAUGAACCCUGGUUAAGGAACUCUGCAAACUAGCACCGUAUCUUCGGUAUAAGGUGUGCCUUAUUUGUUAGGGGAUUUACUUCCCGAAGCAUUGAUAGGUCGCAGCAAAGUGUCCCUCCCGACUGUUUAC
rnacentral:rRNA from 1 species